rnacentral:rRNA from 1 species
AGUGAACGCUGGCGGUAGGCCUAACACAUGCAAGUCGAACGGCAGCACAGUAAGAGCUUGCUCUUACGGGUGGCGAGUGGCGGACGGGUGAGGAAUACAUCGGAAUCUACUUUUUCGUGGGGGAUAACGUAGGGAAACUUACGCUAAUACCGCAUACGACCUACGGGUGAAAGCAGGGGAUCUUCGGACCUUGCGCGAUUGAAUGAGCCGAUGUCGGAUGAGCUAGUUGGCGGGGUAAAGGCCCACCAACGCGACGAUCCGUAGCUGGUCUGAGAGGAUGAUAAGCCACACUGGAACUGAGCCACGCUCCAGACUCCUACGGGAGGCAGCAGUCGGGAAUAUUGGACAAUGGGCGCAAGCCUGAUCCAGCCAUACCGCGUGGGUGAAGAAGGCCUUCGGGUUGUAAAGCCCUUUUGUUGGGAAAGAAAAGCAGCAGGUUAAUACCCCGCUGUUCUGACGGUACCCAAAGAAUAAGCACCGGCUAACUUCGUG